GUGGAUGAGUGGCGAACGGGUGAGUAAUACGUGAGUAACCUGCCCUUGACUCUGGGAUAAGCCUGGGAAACUGGGUCUAAUACUGGAUAUGACCUCCUGUCGCAUGGUGGGGGGUGGAAAGGGUUUGUACUGGUUGUGGAUGGGCUCACGGCCUAUCAGCUUGUUGGUGGGGUAAUGGCCUACCAAGGCGACGACGGGUAGCCGGCCUGAGAGGGUGACCGGCCACACUGGGACUGAGACACGGCCCAGACUCCUACGGGAGGCAGCAGUGGGGAAUAUUGCACAAUGGGCGCAAGCCUGAUGCAGCGACGCCGCGUGAGGGAUGACGGCCUUCGGGUUGUAAACCUCUUUCAGCACGGAAGAAGCGAAAGUGACGGUACGUGCAGAAGAAGCGCCGGCUAACUACGUGCCAGCAGCCGCGGUAAUACGUAGGGCGCAAGCGUUGUCCGGAAUUAUUGGGCGUAAAGAGCUCGUAGGCGGUUUGUCGCGUCUGCUGUGAAAGCCCGGGGCUUAACCCCGGGUGUGCAGUGGGUACGGGCAGACUUGAGUGCAGUAGGGGAGACUGGAACUCCUGGUGUAGCGGUGAAAUGCGCAGAUAUCAGGAAGAACACCGAUGGCGAAGGCAGGUCUCUGGGCUGUUACUGACGCUGAGGAGCGAAAGCAUGGGGAGCGAACAGGAUUAGAUACCCUGGUAGUCCAUGCCGUAAACGUUGGGCACUA
rnacentral:rRNA from 1 species